UGUAGGCCCAAAUACGGAAACUGCUAGCAACGAAGGCCAUGGAGUGGAGGGAGGUCGCCGCAGGCGAGGGCGGAAGGGCGGCGACGCGGCGUGCGGCGGCGAGGGAGGAAGAAGAAGGCGAGGCAUUGCAUCUCCGCGGCUGCGCCAAGGCCAUUUCCAUCACGAUGUUCCUCAAUCAACGCCAUCGAGAAGGUGGCGGCGGAGGCCGCAUCCGGACCUCCGUCCGCCUCGUCGUCCCCAAGCACGUCGGCUCCGAGUCCGAGGGCACCGAGGUCGUCACCAGGCAGUGGCUGAAGUGAAAUUGUGAAUGAAAAUGGACGCUCUCCCGAAGCCAAAUAGGUGUUACAUCUUGUACUGCUCUCAUCUGUCUGUCCACUGGUUGCCAGUCUGCUUGGUUCAGUUAUUUCAGGUGACUAAAUAUAUCUACACCAUACCUUCAGCUGUGAUCAUUGUUCUUGCAAAUGACUGCAAUUGGUGUCUUCUUGAGCUAACAGCAAAUCUUGAGGUAUGGAUCUCUGAUGUGGUGCAUCUCUCAUCGUCAUUCAGUCACUGGGUAUGCUUUGAGGAGAUUGUCAAAACAGCAAUGUCCAAGGUUUUAUCGCUAAGAGCAUCCAUUAGGCUUCAUGUAAAUAUCUCAAGCAAGAAUAUGCUCGGACUGUAUACAUCACCAGUCACUAUGAUAUCGAAGCAUCCCCCCAUUCCAAACUACAGGGAAACAACACAUUUCUAUUGUUUGAUUUAUGUACUGUUGGGUACAUUUUACAUAACCAAUCCACGUGUAUAAAUCUGAAAUUAAGAAAUGCAUAUUGUUGAGUACAGAAUAAUAGAGUUGAAGUUUUGCAAAUUACUGCAGAACUUUUGCUACUCCUCCAUGUUCUGCUCAAGAGGUCUGGCAAACAUAAGGAUAUUCCAAGACCAAUGACAGCAACCAAUCAAUUUUCAAUUCUACUUCUUGUGGUUUCAUCAUAGGCAUCUGUAUGCAACCACAUUUUUGUGUCGACUAUCUCCCAGAUUCGCUCUGGAAGAGCAUCCUCUGAAAACUUGUGCAGAUCCAAUGAUCCUGUGAACAUGUCAUCAGUUGGGCUCCUUCCUGUAAACAUCUCAAGCAGCAAUAUGCCGAGGCUAUAAACAUCUCCAAGAGCUGAAACAGAAGAACCUUCACCAUACUCUGUAAUUAUGCAAAUAAAGCAUGGCAUGUUUAUAGAAGAACUAGGGUUUUACUUUCUCUUUCUGGAAGGAUUCUUGAUAUGCCGAAGUCUCCAACUCGGGCACUCAUAUCUUCUGCAAGAAGGAUGUUGCUUGGCUUGAGAUCACAAUGAAUGAUUGAUGGCUGACAGUGAUUGUGAAGAUAAUCCAAAGCAUCCAUGAUAUCAACAGAUAUAUCAAGCCUUUGUGCUAGGCUGAGAGUAUUGGUCACCGUGGGCAUUCCAGAUUUUGGAUGAAGCCAAUCACUUAAGCUACCAUUUGGCAUGAACUCAAAAACCAGAGCCUUGAACUCUUGGCCUUGGUGAUUGAUGCUUGAGCAGCAUGUAAUGAUUUUUAUGAGACAACGGUGACGCACCCUUCUCAGCGCUUCACAUUCAGCAACAAAACUUCUAGUAGAUCCGGAUUGCUCAAGAUAAACUGGAUAUGUGCAAUACCUAAAGCUAAGAACAAGAGUGCACUGGUUGCUACAAGAGCUAUCAUAACAGAUCUGAACCACCCUUUUAUGCCAUUUUUGGUUGAAUAUAUGUGGCAAGGAGCUAAAUGAAGCUGAGGUAUUCCACCACACAGAUUAUUAUUUCCGGAGACUAGGGAUUGGCCCUGACAAGUUGUUGUGUGCCAGAUACAGCACUUGCAGGUCGUGGAUACUUCCAAUGGCAUCAGGAAUAGUACCAGAUAAUUUAUUCAUGGAUAGGUUGAGUGCAUUCAGACCCUUUACAUUCUUCAGAGUGUGCGGUAUGGAUCCCUGGAAUGAAUUACUGUCGAGAAAAAGUUCUUGUAGCACGGUACAGUCCCCGAUAUUCUCUGGUAUCUCACCACUCAGCAGGUUUCCUGACAGAUAUAAGCUGUUAAGAUUUCUCAAGUUACCGACUUCAGAUGGAAGGGGCCCUGAUAAUGAAUUGUGUGAUAAGGCUAAGUAUAUAGAAAUGACUGGUAGUUUGAAAAGUUCUUUGGGGAUUGAACCAUUCAGAUGGUUCCUUGACAAGUCAAGGAGUGUCAGACUCUUCAGCUUCCCUAAGCUUGAUGGAAUCGCACCCUCUAAGUUGCAAUUGUCUGCAUACAGUUUAGUCAAUUGUGACAGGUUUCCAAUAGAUGAAGGUAUGAUCCCAGAAAAGUUGGUGUUGUAUAAACUGAGCGAGCCUAAGUUUCCUAACUUGCCGAUGCUCUCUGGAAUCUCACCGGAUAUGGAAGUAUUCGCUGCGCUAAAUAUUUGGAGGUUAACAAGGUUGCCAAUGUCUGAGGGGAGGCUUCCUGAGAUUCCAUUGAAUCCGACACUGAGCAUUUGCAUAGUCUGUGAGAGAUUCACAAUUGAACAUGGCAUCUGCCCAGUGAAAGCGACAUUGGAGUGCAUAACUAAUUGCUCGAGCUGGCUGCAAUUUGUCAACGAAGUGAUGAAUUCCCACCCUUCCUUGUCAUUUGCUUGUAGCAUGUUGUCGUACAAGUAUAGAGUCUGCAGAGCUCGCAACAUUCCCAGUGGGGGAGGCACAUAUCCACUGAGCCUGUUCUGUUCGAGAAAGAGUAUCCUUAGAGUAGUGAGGUUGGAGAGUGAAGCAGGGAUGGAUCCGGUGAACUGGUUUGUCGCAAAGCUGAGAAACUUCAUGUUGGGAAAUUUGCUGCCAAUAUCGGCAGGAAUGCUCCCAUGGAGCAUGUUACCCCGGAGGUCCAGCAUUUUCAAUGAAGAUAGGUUGUACAAGGAGUUUGGGGGUUCACCAGAGAGAUUGUUUUCGUCGACCAAAAGCACUUGGAGGCCUCGGAUGCUGCCAAGGCCAGGAGGGAUGGUUCCCUCGAGACAGUUUUGUACGAGGACCAGAUAAGUCAGUGAUGAUAAGUUGGCCAGUGACACUGGGAUGACGCCGGUGAGACUGUUGUUCCACAAGUCAAGGAUCAUGAGGCGCGUCAGCUCGUCACCGAACUCCGGUGGCACACGCCCACGGAGCUGGUUGGAUCGGAGGGCCAUGAACAUCAGAUCGGUGCAGGAGCUUAGGUUGGCAGGGAUAUCACCAGAGAAGGCGUUGUUGCUCAGGUCGAGGAUGUGGAGGUGGUGCAGGCGGCCGAGGCUCGCGGGGAUGCCCCCGCUGAUGAACCAGUUGGAGCUCAGGUUGAGGAGCCUGAGGGAUGAUAGGUUUCCGACCGCAGGCGAGAGGACGCCGGUGAGCCCAUGGGAUGGCAGGCUCAGCGCCACCACUCGACGGUGCCUGCCCUGGCACCUCACCCCCUCCCAGUUGCAGUAUCCACCAUCGGUGCUCCCGUUCCAGGAAGCGAGCACGUCGCUGGUGCCGCCGAUCGCUGCCGCCUUGAAGGCCAGCAACGCAGCCUCAUCGUCGGCGUCGGCGGCUGGGAGUGUGGAGAAGAACAUGGAGGUGGUCGGCAGCAGCAGCAAGCACGCCCAGCGAAUUGCCAUGCUGGUUUCUUUGGUGGUACGCUUUGGGGAAUUGAUGGGCUACAAUUAGUGUAUGACUGUAAAUGUGUAAGUACAGGCAGGGUGCUGGUGCUAUUUACAGAAGAAGUGGAUCAGGUAUACCAAUUACCGUGUUCCACGGUGUCAUGUACACAAGCGGUUGCUAAAACCACAGUGUUGGGUACGCCAGUGUUCACUAGCUAGCUUCCUUGUCACUUGUCAGUACUGAGAGUUCAGGUUCAGGACCUGCCACAUGAUGAACCAAUAAUGCUAUGCCAGACAGGUAGGUACAAGAAAUGUGUCACCCCCCAGCCCUGGCAUUCUUAUCGCUGUGUUGUUUGUUUCCAUCUGGUGUGAUGCUAAUUGUAGCCAACGUGUAGACCGCAGUGGGUGCUGCUUGAUGGCACCUCGUGUGUAAAAUUCUUUGGCAUCGUACUGAUUGGGUGACCGUAGAGGUUUCUUGAAUUCACCAUUUACUGAUGUCGUGGCGUGUCAUUUUUGUCAA